ACCGGGCAUGGUGGUGCAUGCCUGUAAUCCCAGCUACUCAGGAGGCUGAGGCAGGGGAAUCAUUUGAACCCUGGAGGUGGAGGUUGCAGUGAGCUAAGAUCAUGCCACUGCACUCCAGCCUGGGCAACAGAGUGAGACUCAGCCUCAU
rnacentral:SRP_RNA from 2 species